CGCCUUGCCAGCCCGCUCAGAAACUCAAAUGAAUUGACGGGGACCCGCACAAGCAGCGGAGCGUGUGGUUUAAUUCGUUGCUACACGAAGAACCUUACCUGGGUUUGACAUAUAGGUUGUAGGGAACUGAAAAGGGACCGACCCUUCGGGGAGCCUAUACAGGUGUUGCAUGGCUGUCGUCAGCUCGUGUCGUGAGAUGUUCGGUUAAGUCCGCUAACGAGCGCAACCCUCGUCGUAUGUUAUAUGUGUCAUACGAGACUGCCGGUAAAAAGCCGGAGGAAGGUGAGGAUGAUGUCAAGUCAGCAUGACCUUUAUAUCCAGGGCUACACACACGCUACAAUGGUCUGUACAAUGGGUAGCCAAGCCGCGAGGCGGAGCCAAUCCUGAAAGCAGGCCUCAGUUCAGAUUGCAGUCUGCAACUCGACUGCAUGAAGCCGGAGUUGCUAGUAACCGCAGGUCAGCAAUACUGCGGUGAAUACGUUCCCGGGUCUU
rnacentral:rRNA from 1 species